GGUGAGAUGGCUGAGUAUAGGCAAUAAACUGUAAAUUUAUUCACGAAUUUUUAAAAUUCUUUCACC
rnacentral:tRNA from 1 species